rnacentral:rRNA from 1 species
GGGCCCGCACAAGCGGAGGAGCAUGUGGUUUAAUUCGAUGAUACGCGAGGAACCUUACCCGGGCUUGAACGUAAGACGAAUAUACAGGAAACUGUAUAGCCUACGGGCGUCUUGCGAGGUGCUGCAUGGUUGUCGUCAGCUCGUGCCGUGAGGUGUUAGGUUAAGUCCUGCAACGAGCGCAACCCUUACACAUAGUUGCCAGCACGUAAUGGUGGGGACUCUAUGGGAACUGCCUACGCAAGUAGAGAGGAAGGUGGGGAUGACGUCAAAUCAGCACGGCCCUUAUGUUCGGGGCUACACACGUGCUACAAUGGCAUAUACAGAGGGCAGCCACUACGCGAGUAGGCGCUAAUCCUCAAAGUAUGUCUCAGUUCGGAUUGGAGUCUGUAACUCGACUCUAUGAAGUUGGAUUCGCUAGUAAUCGCGCAUCAGCCAUGGCGCGGUGAAUACGUUCCCGGGCCUU